rnacentral:rRNA from 1 species
UACAGAGGGUGCGAGCGUUGUUCGGAAUUACUGGGCGUAAAGAGCUCGUAGGUGGUUUUGUCGCGUUGUUCGUGAAAACUCACAGCUCAACUGUGGGCGUGCGGGCGAUACGGGCAGACUUGAGUACUGCAGGGGAGACUGGAAUUCCUGGUGUAGCGGUGGAAUGCGCAGAUAUCAGGAAGAACACCGGUGGCGAAGGCGGCUCGCUGGGCCAGUUCUGACACUCAUCCGCGAAAGCGUGGGGAGCAAACAGG